rnacentral:rRNA from 1 species
CCAAAUUACUACUAAGUGGGAAACGAUGUGGGAAGGCUCAGACAGCCAGGAUGUUGGCUUAGAAGCAGCCAUCAUUUAAAGAAAGCGUAAUAGCUCACUGGUCGAGUCGGCCUGCGCGGAAGAUGUAACGGGGCUAAGUAGUAAACCGAAGCUGCGGCAAUAUACUUUUGUAUAUUGGGUAGGGGAGCGUUCUGUAAGCGGUUGAAGGUGUGUGGUAACGCAACC